UGCGACGUGAAGGUGUGGGUGCUCGAUCGCACGCUGUUCCAGGCCAUCAUGAUGAAGACUGGACUGCAGAGACAGGAGGAGAACAUGAGGUUCCUGCGCAGCGUGCCUCUAUUGAAGAAUGUUCCGGGAGAGAAGCUGUC